rnacentral:lncRNA from 1 species
UACUGCAGAAUGAAGAUGGGCAAAAUGUUUAAAAUCACAUAUUUAAAUAUUCAGUUUUGCAUAAAAUAGACUAUAAAAAUAAAGCUUGUGAUGUUUCCAAUGGAUUAUCAAAAUUCCUUAAUCUCCUUCUUUUCUCUAAUAUUUUAUAGGGAAACUGAUUUUUAUUUUUAUUCUUUUGAGACACAGUCUCAGUCUGUUGCCCAGGCUGGAGUGCAGUGGCACGACCACAGCUUACUACAGCCUCUAUCUCCUAUACUCAAGCAAUCCUCCUGCCUGAGCCUCCUGAGUAGCUAGGACUACAGGCACACAUCACGGUGCUCAGCUAAUUUUAAAUUUUUUGUAGAAACAGUCUUGCUAUGUUGCCCAGGCUGGUCUCCAACUCCUGGCUUCAAGCAAUCCUCCUGCUUUGGCCUCCCAGAAUGCUGGGAUUACAAGUGUGAACUACUGUGCCCAGCUGAUAAAUGCAUUUUAAAAUUACACAAGUGUUUUUUAAAACAUGGCCCUAGAGUCCUUUUGUACCACAUUUUGUGUGUGUAUGGGUAUGUGUCUAAUCCCACUUCCUCACUUACCCGUGACCCAGCACAAGGUGCUUAAUUCCCUGAGCCUCACCCCUAACACCCAUUGGACAUUCCUGCCAUAAGAGUCCAUUGGGUAUCUUCUAGGUCAGGCAUUCUUCUAGGCCUUGGGUAUGGAGUGAACAAAAUGAAUGAGGCUUAACCAGGUAUGUGGGGGAAGUCAGACAAUAAAUCAUGUAUCUCCCAUCAUUUUAAACAUUCAGAAGAAAAAGAAAGCAAAGAAGAGGCAGAGUGACCUGCCUUUCGAGCUGCUGUGUGGGUAGUGCUACCUGCCAUGCCUGUAUACUCCUCUGGUCUCCUCGGCUUACCUCAUCAUCCCCGACAGUCCCCUGACCACAGGUGGAACACCCCACCCACACUCCUUACAUUAUUAUGUAUUUCUCCUUUUUAUCUUUUUCAGCAGAAACCCAGGAUAGGAAUGGCAGGGGACAUGGGGAGUGGGAAUGGGAGAGGACCUCAGGGACUGUCUCUAAUACAGAGGAUGAGGGAGUUCUCACAGAAGCUCUGAGUUCAGACUGGGCUCAUUGAGGAAGCUUGGGCUCCCACCAAAUCCCUUAAGGAUUUGCCCCUUAAGCUUGAUAUCUCACCACACGACCACAUGUGUAAAGAAAAUUGCUUAUUGUGUUUCACUAUUUAACCUUAACCUCUCCUUCCUACCUUAAAACCACAAAUCAAUGUUUCAUGAACUUACUUAUGCAACAUAAAUUGUUGCAUAAGCAUUAAACAAAAUGUUGUACCACCAGAGAAGUGGCUCAUGCCUGUAAUCCCAGCACUUUGGGAGGCUGAGGCAGGAAGACCACUUGAGAUCAGGAGUUCAAGACCAGCCUGGGCAACAUGGUGAAACCGCAUCUCUACCAAAAAAAUAUAAAAAUUAUCCAUGCAUGGUGGUGCAUGCCUGUGGUCCCAGCUAGUCAGGGGACUAGAGGUGGGAGAAUUGCUUGAACCCGGGAGGCGAGGCUGCCAUGAGCGGAGAUCACACCACUGCACUGCAGCCUGGGCUACAGAGUGAGAUCCUAUGUCAAAAACAACAACAACAACAACAACAAAAACUGUUAUACCACCAUUUACAAUUGAACUCUAAAGAGAGAAGUUGUCUUAAUAAUAAUAUUAAAAUUUAGUGUUUAUGCGAGAAUAUACGUAUAUCAAUUUCUUAUUGCUGUUGUAACAAAUUACCACAACUUUAGUGGCUUAAAACAGGACAAAUUUAUUAUUGUAAAGUGCUAGAGGUCAUAAGUCCAAAUGAGUCUAUGGAAUAAACAUAGGCAUCAGCAGAACUGUGUUCCUCGGGAGGCUCUGACUGGGACAAAAAGAGAAAACGUAGAGAGAAUAAAGAAGAGCCCAGGCCAGUCUCGAACUUCAGGGCUCAAGUGAUCCACCUGCCUUUGCUUCCCAAAGUGCUAGGAUUAUGGGCAUAAGCCACCGCGUCUGGCCCUAAGUUUUGAUGCAAAUAUUUAAAUUUGUGUUUUAAUAGAAGGCCCUGGUUUUGAACCUCUUUUAUAAAGCCAGAAACACAUUUUUACUUUAUAUUUCAAAAGAACUAACCCAGGGUUUCCAUGGCCAAUUCAGAAGGCCAUAUCUGCACUGUUUUCUUGGACAGAAGAAUCAUCCUAACAGAUCAGAGGAGCUCCUGGCUACCUUGUGCUAUAGUGAUCAUUGUAUCAGAGGUUAUGAACCUCAGACAUCAAAACUUCAGAUUUUCAAUUUGACUAUCAAGGCAUGGAAUCACAAUUCCUGGACUUAAAGAUGGAACUGAUGUUCAUACAAAACACAAAUAUCUCUGUAAAAGGAAGGGACUAGAUGUAGUGUCUGGUUCCUGUGGGAGAGACUGAAAGAGGACCCACUGGAUUGGCCAUCUAUGGUUUCUAGCAGGGCAAUACCGCCUCUCUAGGAGACAUUUGAAAUAGUUGGGGUGUCUUGAUGAUGGGGAGUGAAAAGCGACAGCUACAGGCAUUCGUGUAGAAGUAAGCCAGAGUUGUUAAACUCAAUGCAUGGGAUAUUUCUGCACUGAUGGUUUCACGCAAAUGCUAAUAGCACCCCUGUUGAAAAGUGGAUGGUCUUCUCCCUUAGUCUCCUCAUCCACAUUUACCUCAAUCACCUCUACUCCUCAUGCCCCCAAAGACUCACUGUUUUCAGUGUAACCCUAAGGAUAUUUAAGCCAGCCAGACAAUAUUAGGUGAAAACAAUACUAGUUUGUAAAGAAUGCUACUUGUCCACAAGGCUGGAUUAAAACCAAGAGAGGCCCUAAAUCCUUAAAAAAUUGUAAUUUCUCUCCCUUAUGUAAUUAAAAAUAAAUGCUACCAAACCAUAACUUAAGAAGGUCUAAUUUAGGUAAGAAAGUUCUGAUUUCUGAAUAUUUUGUUGUUUUUUAAAAAAAUAAAUACUAAAUGUUCUGAAAAUUAUUUUAUUUAUGUGCUUAUUUAUUUAUUAGACAAAGUCUUGCUCUGUCACCCAGGCUGGAGUGCAGUGGCGCAAUCUCAACUCACUGCAACCUCCACCUCCUGGUUCAAGGGAUCCUCUGGCCUCAGCCUCCUGAGUAGCUGGGAUUACAGGUGCCUGCCACCACGCCUGGCUAACUUUUGUAUAAAAAUUACUUUUCUUAUUUCUUUUGGUUCCCCUGCUUUGCUAGUACUCAGUGCUUAUGCUUUGUCUAUUGCUGCUCAUUGGAUGAAAAUUAGAAAGAACAUUUUGAAUUUACUUAAGUGGGUUGUGGGUUGUUGAAAAGUCCACAGUGGUGGGAAUGCAAGUGACUUGCAGAGGCCUAGAUCUUUUGCUGAGUUCCAGUUCUGGCUCCAUCACUGACUAACUAUAUGACUUGAGGUAAAGACUAUAUGCUUUAAUAUCUGUUUGUCUGUAAAAUAAAGGGAAUAAAGGAAUACACCUAAUGGUUUGUAGGGAUACAUGAAAACAUAUGUGCCUUAUAUGUAGUAAGUGCUCAGUAGUAAGUGAUCAGAAGUGCCCAGUAUAUUUGCGAAACUGCAUCUCUACAAAAAAAUACAAAAAUUAGCCAGGCAUGGUGGUGGGUGCCUGUAGUCCCAGCUACUCCAGGAGACUGAGGUGGGAGGAUCGCUUGAACCCAGGAGGCAGAGGUUGUAGUGAGCCAAGAUCCCGCCACUGCGCUCCACCCUGGGCAACAGAGUCAGACUCUGUCUCAAAAAAAAAAAAAGAAAGAAAAAGAAAAAAAAAAAAACGUUAGUGCUCAGUGUAUCUUAUCUAUUAAUAGUGUAACUACUGUAUAUAUUUUUCCAUUCCCACCAUUCCUCAAUAUUCCAAACACCUUUGAAUACCUACAAUGUGCUGGUCCCUGUGCUAUAACCUUAGGAAAUAAAUAUGGAAAAGACAUAGUCUUGACCGAAUACAGUUUAUAAUCUAGAAGUGAAACUGGUUUUAAAACAAGAACAAAGUGCCACAAAUUUCUUGCUUUAAAAGAAAAAAGGCUGAGCUGGGUGUGGUGGCUCACACCUGAAAUCCUAGCACUUUGGGAGGCUGUAGGGGGCGGAUCAUCUGAGCUCAGGAGUUCGAAACCAGCCUGGGCAACAUGGUGAAACCCUGUCUCUACUAAAAAUAGAAAAAAUUAGCUGGGCGUAGUCCAGCUACCUGAGAGGCUGAGGCAGGAGAAUCCCUUGAACCCAGGAGGUGGAGGUUGCAGUGAGCUGAGAUGGCGCCACUGCACUCCAGCAGCUCGACAGAGCAAAACUAAUAACAACAAAAAAGGUUGAAUAGAGUAAUCGGGGGGGAAAUGAUGGUCAAUUCUGAAGGCUCAGAAAUGUCUAUGAAAUUAUUUAAAAGCAAUGUUACUUGACUUUCUUUUUUCAUUAUUUUUAUCCAAUUCAAGGAACAGCUUUCAUCUAAAUGUGCAAUGCACAGUACAUGAAAUUUCAGGGAAUAUUGUCAUAUAGUCUUUUGAAAGACCAUAUUGCCUGGGAAGAUAAUUCUUUUCUGAACCCUGAACAAUAGACACAUUGAGAUAAGAAAAAAGUUUAGCCAACAGCAAUUGUAAGAUAACACUGAUUGUACUAUGCAUUCUGAUUUC